rfam:Myotis lucifugus cont2.51266, whole genome shotgun sequence.
CCAAAGGAUUUUUUAAAAUCCAAUCUCCUUGAGAAAUGAAUGGGG